GACGAACGCUGGCGGCGUGCUUAACACAUGCAAGUCGAACGGAAAGGCCCUGCUUUUGUGGGGUGCUCGAGUGGCGAACGGGUGAGUAGCACGUGAGUAACCUGCCCUUGACUUUGGGAUAACUUCAGGAAACUGGGGCUAAUACCGGAUAGGAGCUCCUGCUGCAUGGUGGGGGUUGGAAAGUUUCGGCGGUUGGGGAUGGACUCGCGGCUUAUCAGCUUGUUGGUGGGGUAGUGGCUUACCAAGGCUUUGACGGGUAGCCGGCCUGAGAGGGUGACCGGCCACAUUGGGACUGAGAUACGGCCCAGACUCCUACGGGAGGCAGCAGUGGGGAAUAUUGCACAAUGGGCGGAAGCCUGAUGUAGCAACGCCGCGUGCGGGAUGACGGCCUUCGGGUUGUAAACCGCUUUCGCCUGUGACGAAGCGUGAGUGACGGUAAUGGGUAAAGAAGCACCGGCUAACUACGUG
rnacentral:rRNA from 1 species